rnacentral:rRNA from 1 species
UACGUAGGUGGCAAGCGUUGUCCGGAAUUAUUGGGCGUAAAGCGCGCGCAGGCGGUCCUUUAAGUCUGAUGUGAAAGCCCACGGCUCAACCGUGGAGGGUCAUUGGAAACUGGGGGACUUGAGUGCAGGAGAGAAGAGUGGAAUUCCACGUGUAGCGGUGAAAUGCGUAGAGAUGUGGAGGAACACCAGUGGCGAAGGCGACUCUUUGGCCUGUAACUGACGCUGAGGCGCGAAAGCUAGGGUAGCAAA